CUCCUGCUGGCCUUGCCAGGGCUCCGGGCGGCCGUGACCCUGCUGGAGUCCGGGGGGGACCUCCAGCCCCCCGGGGGGUCCCUGCGCCUCCUCUGCCGAGGGUCCGGGUUCAGUUUCGGCAGUUUUGGGAUGGCCUGGUAUCGCCAGAGACCCGGGCAGGGGCUGGAAUUUCUGGCAAGGAUCCACAGGGAUGGUGGUUUCAUCGAGUACGGGCCAUCGGUGCGGGGCCGGGUGACGAUCUCCAGGGACAACGGGCAGAGCUCGGUGACGCUGACCAUGAACAGCCUCAAGGACGAGCAUUCCGGAUCCUAUUUCUGUGGGAAAUCCGCGGGGGCUUACACGGCUGAUCCUGGUCGUAGUGAAAUUCUCACCCGCUGA